CUACUGUGACAGUUCUGCUCCAGACACCCCCUCGUGUCCUGUCCAGACUGGGACCCUCCUUCCUCCCAAAUGUCUAGCGAUAUUCGGGUACAUCAAGUCUGUUCAUGCUGGGCCCUACCUACCCUUCCAUCCAUCUUCUCCUAACCACUGUUACUAGCGUGCACACACACACACACGCACACACACAGAAACGCACCUAUGCACCCAUACUCCCAUAUACAGGCAAAAACCACACCAGUCAUGGACUCUAGCACAGUCAGCCUCAACAUCCCCAAACACACUGGGAUCCACCACAUCUUUGAAUCUUUAUAAUACUUUUAUUUCUCCUAUUCUCUCUGUCUGGGAUGACUGCCCUCCUCGGACAAACUCCUAUUCAACCUUCAAGACCCAUCUCCAACAUUACCCCCUUGUGAAACCUCCCCAUUCACUAUUUAGUCAUCCCCUCCUCUGAAUGCCCAGAGAUUUUUUUUUCAUCUUUUGCUACACCACAUAAAGCAUCGUCUUCAUGUGUGCAUGCCCUAGAUAGAAGUAGAUACUCAGAAAGUGUUCACUGAACGAAUAAAUGAAUGAAUGAGCACAGGCUUCUCCCCCUAAGAAAAGAGGGGAGGAGUCAAAGCUGGCUUGAAAGGGAACCAGCAUGCCACCAGCCACUACUAUCCCGGAUUUGGGCACAAGCCGCUCCCACCCUUGUGGUCUGGUCUGGAGCCUCUCAACAGGUACGGCUGGGUUUACUGGAGGGAAGGGGGAGUGGGAGGCCCCUAACUUUUGCAGGAACAAUGCACAGCUAGUCGAGGAGAAGAAUGAUCCUACAGUCGGCAGCACAGGCCCUCCCAGGCCUCCCGCACAGCUCCUGCACAAGUCUGGCCUCACUGGGCACUCAGUUCUUGUGCUCAGGCUCUGCUCUCUUAAUUUUUACCUGGAAAAGGUGACUCCCAGGGUGCCUACGCUAGGAAAACAACACCUUAACUUCUUAAAUGAAUGGUUUAAAAAUGAGAGGAUAAAAAAAUGACCAAAACCAAUGAUGAAUGCACUGAUCUGAGAUUUUCAUCCCUAUCCCAAGACCCGGAGUCCUAGACUGCCACGAUCCUUCCAGGAAAGGAGAAGGACGUCAACAUUUAGUAGCAUCUACUGUGCCCUUGCUACUUAACCGACGCAAAGUGGCUUCAAGGUAGAUGUCACCAUGCUCUUCUGGAGGACAGAGGCUCAGAGACACAGAGAAACUUCCCCAAGGGUGCCCAGCAUGUCAGUGGGACAGCAGGUCUCAAUCCCAAGAGGUUGACUUCCGUUCCACCCCCGCCCCAUCCCACUGCACAAGCUAGCCUCCUGCUGCAUACAGGGGGCUGGAGACCAGGCAACAAAGACAAGUGGUUUCUUUCGGGGCUUGUCCUCUAAAUGACCCCUUUGCAAAUCUUUAUCCCACUCAGGGAUGGUAUCAACUCUACAAAGGGUUUAAGAGAAACCUCCAUCUACUGGGAGGGGAAACUGCAAGCAGGAAGGCAGCCCCUGAGCCGCCGGCAUUCGCUCAGCGAGCACGGGCACCGCCUGCCCGUCAUGGGCCAGGUGUGGACCGGCCGAUGGAUGCCAGGCUUAUAGACCAGGGGCUGAGGCCAGCCCACCCACGGCACACCGUGGAUCAACCAAGCUGCCCAUACCUCGUCUGGGAAGCCGGUUCCUCACGCUUCGGGAAUCUAACACGAAUUCUGGGUUGCAAAUAGGCAUGCCACCACUUUUUACUUAAGCUUGGCAAAGGCAGAGAAGCGAGAUCAAAUUUUGCAGGAUGUGAAAGGAAGUUUCAGGCUAGCAACAUUUGUUCAGCCUUUCUGUAUUGUCACAGAGCAUGACGGAAACGCUCAUCGUAGAAGCCAAAACCGGCCUCGUUUUUGGAACACAGAGGCAAGGAAAAACACGGAGAUCUGACUCUCACGGCGAGAACAAAGGGUCGAUUCAUUUAUUAACAAAAACGCACUGGGUGAUUCCCAGGCUCUGGGCACCGUCCCAGGCCCCAGAGAUACCAUGGGGACGAGGUGGACAAAACUGCCUGUCCACAUGCAGCUUCCGUACCAGCGGAGGAAGACAGGGACGAAACCGGGGAGUGAGUCACAGGCGACAUGAGACAAUGUGAGGAAGACACAACCAAGUGGGCGAGGGGAACGAACGCGCAGGCAAGUGUUGUGUGAGGCUCGGAGAAGACCGGGUUCUGGAGGCUGGAUGUUCAACAUGAAGAUGUCAGCAGGUUUGGUGUGUUUGACUUAUGGAUGGCCACUUUCUCCCUCCGGCCUACAAGGUCUUUUCCUCUGGGCACGUGUGGCCUUGGUGUCUCUGCAUAUUCAAGUCUCCUCUUCUUGUGAAGACAGCAGUCAUACUGGAUUAGCGUCCACCCCCAAAGACCUCAUUUUAACUAAAUCCCUUCGUUCAAGGCCCCGUCUCCAAAUACAGUCACAUUCUGAGCACCAAGGGUCGUAUCGUCAACACGUGAAUUCGGGGGGAACACAAUCCAGCCCAUAACCCUAGCUCAUUAAGAAACGCCUUCCCCCCUCCCCGGGUCACGGGCUCGCUCUCUGAAGUGAGGUGUGUUCCAGUCCAGCACGGGCACACUGGUCCCACACUCCUCCCACGGUGACUCCCACGCUCCUGUCCCCAGGCUGAGUCCUCCCGGGGGUGCAGACGGGGAGAACAACUACACGCCUCUGCUGUCGUCUCUCACCCCAGGACAACUAACACCCCUGCCCACUGCCCGCACUUGGCCCAAAGGGGCGUUGGGAAAGACCCACCAACCCCCUCCCCCCACCACAGCCCUCUGGACAAGAAAGGGUAGACUGCUUCCUCUUCGGCUCUGGAAGGGAUGCCUUCUAGAGCACACUCUCCUAGUUGCCCAGAACUCCAGGCUUCCUCCUGUACCAAGGAGGGCCCAGGUCUCUACUGUGGGACCCUGUUGGGAUCCUGUGGUCUCUACUGUGGGACCCUGUGGGACCCAUGGUCUCUGUUGACCAUGGAGGCUGGCUUAGCUCUGGAGGGUACCGAGGUUGAAAAUACGGUCGCUUCACGUUCUGAAAAUAUGAUUCCCACUCUAACAAUAAUAGCUAAUAUCUAGCGAUCACUUAUACGCACCAGGUAGAGUGCAAAGAGCAUUCUCUUCUCUUGUUUAAACUUCAGAGUAACCCUCAGAAGCCCAGCUUUACGGACAAGGAGAGGGAAAAUGACUUGCCCGAGAUGACGCAUCUCAUAAGGGACAAGUGGUGGUGACUCCGGCACUCUCGUGCCUCAGCAGCACGGUGGGAGCUCCCGGCGUGAGGACCUGAAUUCUGAUAGGCAGCCCAAUCACCUGACCUGACUCCCCGCCCCUUUUUCUCUGACAUCUCACGUGCCUGGAAGUCCCAGGCUCCCAGGCCAGCGCCAUUCCUGUCCCCCUUCUCUGGGCACGUGCUUUAGGCUGAUGGGGCACAGGCUCUCUCCUCCGUCCAGCCUGCAUCAUCCCAGGCACGCCUUCCGACCUCCCGACCACUCGCCUUGUCCCCGUUCACCUCUGCUGCUGCCCUAACGGGACGACCAGUCGCCACCCUCUGUGCGGGCGUCCGUCCUCACUGGGGACCAUCUUUGCCCCCAUCAACCUCAACCUUUGGGCCGCCAGUGCCUUCUGGGCAUGUACCUGAGAAGGACCACACCCCCCGGGCACUCUCAACUUCCACUUCCCCUAACUGUCCCCUCAUUUCCAAACCGGCUGCCUUAGCAUCCCCAAUGGAGCACAGCUCUCGCAGCGAUGAGGCCGCCAAUCCCGUGACCCCACCCUUAUCCCCCCAGGCCAUCUCUCCUUCCCUGUCCGUCUGCCUCUCAGUCACCCAGCCUUGCUUCUGCGGUCCUCCUUGUAGUCAGUCCGUGGCCCGCCCACCCGUCAGCCCUCCAUUGGUUCUGCGCUGGAUAGACCCCAAACCCCGUUAAAUACAACCAUUCGCCUCAUCGGGGCCUCCACCCAAGUUCCUGAAUGUUACUGAAGAAAGUCCACGCAACCAAUGCCCGCUGUUGGUUCCAAGUUCAUGACCACAAAUCUCAAACAUGUUCUCACGGCUGCCCGGCUCUCUCUCCCCCCAACCGAGACACUGUGUAACUCCUCCCCUCCUCCCCUCCAACUUCCCAGCAGAGGAAGCCACCAGAAAGAAAUCCUUUCAUUGGCCCUCUUCUCCCCCACAUUCAGAGGAAAAGGGCCCAAGGCGGAUCUUUCAUCUGUAUGCUGAAAACUGGCGCCCUUCAACUUCUCAAGGACUUUGCUUUUCUACAACCUCCUCUCUCCUCCCCAUCAUGCUCCCCCUUUCUCUGGGGUCACUGUCUCCAGUGAUCACGCAAGCCCACCUACCUCCUGUCUUCAGCAACAGGGAGAGAAGCCACUUGGGUACAAGACAUAUGGUCCCGAACUGUAUCAUUCUCUCAAGUUUUCUGGAACUUUGAAUUCUUCAAAAUAAAAAGCAGAAAUAACGAA